rnacentral:rRNA from 1 species
CUACGGGAGGCAGCAGUGGGGAAUCUUGCGCAAUGCGCGAAAGCGUGACGCAGCAACGCCGCGUGGGCGAAGACGGCCUUCGGGUUGUAAACCCCUUUCAGGAGGGACGAAGGUUCGCCGGUGAAUAGCCGUGCGGAUUGACGGUACCUCCACAAGAAGCUCCGGCUAACUACGUGCCAGCAGCCGCGGUAAUACGUAGGGAGCAAGCGUUGUCCGGAAUCAUUGGGCGUAAAGCGCGCGUAGGUGGCCACAUAAGUCCGUUGUGAAAGUCAAAGGCUCAACCUUUGAAAGCCGAUGGAUACUGUGUGGCUAGAGUACGGAAGAGGCGAGUGGAAUUCCUGGUGUAGCGGUGGAAUGCGCAGAUAUCAGGAGGGACACCAAUAGCGAAGGCAGCUCGCUGGGACGUAACUGACACUGAGGUGCGAAAGCGUGGGGAGCAAACAGGAUUAGAUACCCCGGUAGUCC